rnacentral:miRNA from 1 species
CAGGUGAUCAACGAGCUUGGUGUGCCUGGGACUGAGGAGUUUCCUGCAUUGUGAGACUUUCAGUGUUACAGCAAG